AACGAACGCUGGCGGCAUGCCUAACACAUGCAAGUCGAACGAGACCUUCGGGUCUAGUGGCGCACGGGUGCGUAACGCGUGGGAACCUGCCUUUAGGUUCGGAAUAACUCAGAGAAAUUUGAGCUAAUACCGGAUGAUGUCUUCGGACCAAAGAUUUAUCGCCUUUAGAUGGGCCCGCGUUGGAUUAGCUAGUUGGUGGGGUAAAGGCCUACCAAGGCGACGAUCCAUAGCUGGUCUGAGAGGAUGAUCAGCCACACUGGGACUGAGACACGGCCCAGACUCCUACGGGAGGCAGCAGUGGGGAAUAUUGGACAAUGGGCGAAAGCCUGAUCCAGCAAUGCCGCGUGAGUGAUGAAGGCCUUAGGGUUGUAAAGCUCUUUUACCCGAGAUGAUAAUGACGGUAUCGGGAGAAUAAGCUCCGGCUAACUCCGUG
rnacentral:rRNA from 1 species